CCCCUAGAUGUUCUGGGCCGCACGCGCGCUACACUGGUCGAUGCAACGAGUUUCUUUCCUUGGCCGACAGGCCUGGGCAAUCUUUGAACAUCGAUCGUGAUCGGGAUAGAUUCUUGUAAUUUUUGAUCUUAAACGAGGAAUUCCUAGUAAACGCAAGUCAUCAGCUUGCAUUGAUUACGUCCCUGCCCUUUGUACACACCGCCCGUCGCACCUACCGAUUGAAUGGUCCGGUGAAAUCUCCGGACUGGCGUGAGUCGGAGCAAUCUGACAAACGCCGGAAAGUUGAUUAAACCUUACCAUUUAGAGGAAGGUGAANUCGUANCA
rnacentral:rRNA from 1 species